rnacentral:tRNA from 4 species
GGGCCCGUAGCUCAUCUGGUAGAGCGCCUCACUUGCACUGAGGAGGUGGCAGGUUCGAGUCCUGUCGGGUCCACCU